rnacentral:rRNA from 1 species
GUAGGGAAUCUUGCGCAAUGGGCGAAAGCCUGACGCAGCCAUGCCGCGUGAAUGAUGAAGGUCUUAGGAUUGUAAAAUUCUUUCACCGGGGACGAUAAUGACGGUACCCGGAGAAGAAGCCCCGGCUAACUUCGUGCCAGCAGCCGCGGUAAUACGAAGGGGGCUAGCGUUGCUCGGAAUUACUGGGCGUAAAGGGAGAGUAGGCGGAUAGUUUAGUCAGAGGUGAAAGCCCAGGGCUCAACCUUGGAAUUGCCUUUGAUACUGGCUAUCUUGAGUAUGGAAGAGGUAUGUGGAACUCCGAGUGUAGAGGUGAAAUUCGUAGAUAUUCGGAAGAACACCAGUGGCGAAGGCGACAUACUGGUCCAUUACUGACGCUGAGGCUCGAAAGCGUGGGGAGCAAACAGGAUUAGAUACCCUGGUAGUCC